rnacentral:rRNA from 1 species
AGCAUGUGGAUUAAUUCGAUGCAACGCGAAAAACCUUACCUACCCUUGACAUGUCUGGAAUGCCGAAGAGAUUUGGCAGUGCUCGCAAGAGAACCGGAACACAGGUGCUGCAUGGCUGUCGUCAGCUCGUGUCGUGAGAUGUUGGGUUAAGUCCCGCAACGAGCGCAACCCUUGUCAUUAGUUGCUACGCAAGAGCACUCUAAUGAGACUGCCGGUGACAAACCGGAGGAAGGUGGGGAUGACGUCAAGUCCUCAUGGCCCUUAUGGGUAGGGCUUCACACGUCAUACAAUGGUCGGGACAGAGGGUCGCCAACCCGCGAGGGGGAGCCAAUCUCAGAAACCCGAUCGUAGUCCGGAUCGCAGUCUGCAACUCGACUGCGUGAAGUCGGAAUCGCUAGUAAUCGCGGAUCA